UACAGAGGGGGCAAGCGUUAAUCGGAAUUACUGGGCGUAAAGCGUGCGCAGGCGGUUUGUUAAGUCUGCUGUGGAAUCCCCGAGCUCAACUUGGGAAUUGCAGUGGAUACUGGCAGGCUGGAGUAUGGUAGAGGAAGGUGGAAUUCCCGGUGUAGCAGUGAAAUGCGUAGAGAUCGGGAGGAACACCAGUGGCGAAGGCGGCCUUCUGGACCAAUACUGACGCUCAUGCACGAAAGCGUGGGGAGCAAACAGG
rnacentral:rRNA from 1 species